UUGAGAGUGAGCUUAAGGGUUUGUCGACAGCAAAGAAAAUUGAGAGAGAACGUCCUUGUUUUAGCUUUGCGCGCUCCAGAGAGAUGGAGAAAGAUUUGGUUCACCGUUUCCAUAAAAGGAAAAGAUCCAGCAGCAAUCCAGUCCAGAACCAUACGCGACGCAGGCUUACUACUAUUGAAUAUGAAUACAUACCUCUGCCGGAAGAUGAAGAAGAAGAACUGGUAGAGGAGGAAGUAGUUGAGAAAGUGGUAGAGAAAGAAGAAGAAGAAGAACCAGUAGAGGAGGAAGAGGAAGAAGAUCCAGAAGAGGAAGAAGAAGAAGAACCAGUAGAGGAGGAAGAGGAAGAAGAUCCGGAAGAGGAAGAAGAAGAUCGGGAAGAGGAGGGAGAAGGCUGUGAAAUUGAGUUGGAAUACUAUGUGCAUUGCCAAGGGAGUGAAAAUCAUGAUGAGGAUGUUGGAGAAAACAAUCCUAUGGAAGAUGAUGAAGCAACAUCUAAGUUUAAGGGCAUAGACCCUAUUUCUGUCACCCUUUCUAACCCUAAAGUCCUCGACUGCUGCAGCUGCUGUCAACCAUUGACUAUUCCUGUCUUCCAGUGCGAGAAAGGGCAUUUUGCUUGCUUUACCUGUUGUGCUCUUGGAAGGGAGUGUCUUGAGUGCUCAUCUCGCAUUCAUUACAACCGUUGCAAAGCUAUUGAGAAAGUGUUGGAAUCUAUUAACAUAUCAUGCCUUAAUGCAAAAUAUGGUUGCAAAGAGACAUUGAGUUACGGUGAAAGGAAUAACCAUGAGAAGAAAUGUAUCUACAUUCCAUGUUUAUGCCCACACAAAGGUUGUGACUUUGUUGCCUCAUCAAAGGAGUUAUCCCUCCACUUCAGCAAAAAACAUAAAAGUUCUGGAAUCCAAUUUUUAUACAAUCACUCUUUCCAUGUAUCCGUGAAUUCUGAUGAUGAAUUUCUUAUUCUUCAAGAGCAAACAGAUGGAAAUUUGUUUAUUCUCAAAAACAAUGUUGUUGAGAAUAUGGGAAAUGUGGUCACUAUUAGCUGCAUGGGGCCUAACUCUUCUCAGCCAGGGUAUGGUCAUGCUAUAGCCGCCAAGUCUAACGGAAGCUGUCUAACGUUGAUGUCUUCUACCAAGAACAUUCAAAUGGGCACUGCAGAUAUUCCUUCAUCAGGGUUCCUUGUGAUUCCAUUUGACUGUUUUAAUUGUUAUGCAUCUCUCCAUCUGGAGAUUUGCAUAAGAAAAAGAUAGAAUGCUUCACACAUUGCAGAGUGGGAAGAUUGCAUGCAUCAACUGUCCAGAAGCUUGGAAGGGGCCCUGUGAGAGGUUUAAUUAAGCUACUGACUGAUUCCAUCAAAGACUAAGUAAGUAGGAUCGGUGGAAGGGGGUGAAGGAAGGAAUUUUUUAGCUUUCUCCACAAAGGCAGUUUGUGAGAUAACAGACGACUGAGAUUGAGGGAAUGACCAAAGCAAUGGAGUUGAGUAUCAUUAUUGUUGUCAGCAGAGUGGUUAUAAGCGUCUUAUUGCUAUUCAUGCUGGAAAACCCAAGGGCAGUCUGAAGGAAGCAUUAAAAGUUGAAAAUGAUAGAGUUAGACGCCUUAGCUUAAGUGAACAAGCCCUUGAAAAGGCUACUGAGUCACUUGGAACUGAUCUUAUUAGAUUCACCCAGAAAAACUUUUUGAGGGUGUACCCCAAGGGUACACGGGUCAACUCCUCCAACUACAAGCCUCUGGUUGGCUGGAUGCAUGGUGCUCAAAAGGGAUAUGGCAGAACAAGGUUCACAAUUCCUGCACAAUAGGAGGUUUCCAAACUGGAAAUAGCAGAUUUCUUGAUAAAAAAGCAUCCAAAUCCAAAGGGGGUUGUCUAUGACUAUUAAUUUUUCAAUCUGAGAUUAUCACAUGAGACGUUGGGUUUAAUCUAUGGAAUGUGUGAAAGAUGAUUCUGUGGCCCUCUUCAAUUACAUGUCCAAUAUUUGUCCAUGGAUACUGUAUAAAUAUCAGAUCUGUAUUAUUUAAAUA